rnacentral:rRNA from 1 species
UACAGAGGGGGCAAGCGUUGUUCGGAAUUACUGGGCGUAAAGGGCGCGUAGGCGGCCUGUUAAGUCGGACGUGAAAUCCCUCGGCUCAACCGGGGAACUGCGUCUGAUACUGGCGGGCUUGAAUUCGGGAGAGGGAUGUGGAAUUCCAGUGUAGCGGUGAAAUGCGUAGAUAUCUGGAGGAACACCGGUGGCGAAGGCGGCAUCCUGGACCGACAUUGACGCUGAGGCGCGAAAGCCAGGGGAGCAAACGGG